CGGCACGACUGGAACAAUCAUGUCAUUUAAACUGUUGCCGAGGGCCUAAACUCCUGGCCAAUCUCAUAAAUUCUCUCUGAUUGCGUGAAUUAAAAAGAAAAAUCAAGUACAGUGUUCCUUCCAUUUCUCUCGGUUCAGGUCAAAGAAUAAACCUGAUUAACCCAAAGUGAUGGCGGGAGGGAAAAAGAGCUGUGAACAAGUUUUUAGCAAGCCUUCCUGUGUGACGCUUGAAUUCAUGCCUUAACUAUGGUGGCAUGCUCAGUAUUCCUAGAAGACCUCGAAAAAACUUCUGCAAAGAAAGGAUAUGGACGCAUCACUCUUUUUUGAAAAAAACCCAGGAAACAACACGGGACUCGGAGCCAGCCAGCCAGCUGUUUGACAGAAUGCCUAAUAGCGAUAGCAGCACAGAGGAUACGACACGGAAUGCCUGAAACAUGAGAUUAAAAAAACAUCAUCGAAUCCUAUAAGGACAAAAUCACUGAUAUUGAUUCACAACUUUUCACCGUAAACCUUACCAGAAUCCAACCUACAUAUGCAGCAGCAAAUAGUAUAACCUACCAUAUCGUGGAAUUAUAUGAUGUCGUUACUUCUAACUCAGUUAGCGACAACUUUUGAAACCUCUUAAAUGAACCUCACAUAUUUCUGUUAUAUUAUUAUUAUUAAU